CUUCCUCCUCCCUACUCUCCCAACCCUCGCUCAGCUCCCACCGCGCCGCCGGCACCUGGCAGACGCCACGCAUUGCCUCCGCCCUACCGCGCCGGCAUGGAGCAGAUCAGGUCGUUGAGGGGUGUGUCAGCGUUUUUUUCUUCCCCACCCUUGCCCUCCACCCCGCAGGUUUUGCCUCCCCCUUUCUCCAUCUUGAUAAGGGGUCGCGUGCAGGGGCACAAAUAGAGGGGGCGGAGAAGGAGGGGAUCACUAUGGACGCUCAAAGAGGUGGCCUGGAUGAUGGCCUGCUGCGCGCCGCGUCGAUGGUGAGGGAAAAUCACCUGAUGUUGUCCGUGUGGGACGACGAGGUAGUGGAUUAGGUGAGAGCUCUCAUUCCUGGCAAUUUGAGGGCAACAAUAAUUAUACAGGCAGAACACGUACCCCAUCCCAUCCGACAAGGAGGUGGUCGCUGUCAACCAAGGUGAUAUUGUUUCUACUCUGUACGAUUUGCUGUGCAGUUGGGAUUUGCUCUUCGACGGGUUAACUGAUGAUGGUGCUGGUGCAGAUCGUCUUGGUGUUCAGAGGAAGAAAGUGAGGAUGGAGGGGAGCCAAGAGAUCUGGGAUGCGCCUUUGUCGGGGUAAAUGAUGGCGGUGCUGCUGGUGAACUGUCACGCCACAGACAAUGUCGAGAUCAUGGUGCACUGGGACGACAUUGGCCUUCCGGCCACACUACCGUCAAGGCCAGUGACCUCUGUACCUUUCCUGGCAUUCAAGGCUCGCAGCACAUGACACUGGACGCAAGGUUCCCAAUUCCCAAACAAGAUGGCCUUCAACUUAACCUCGCACAUGGCCAGGAUGUUUCGUGCUCACGCCUCUCAAAUCUCAGAUCAAUUGAGCAAACAACAGUCAGAUGCAGUAAGACAUUUUGCUAUAUUAGUGUGGAAAUAAGGGAGUUAGUGUAUUCUCCAGAUUUUGCUGCUAUGUAGCGUACAUUAGAUACUUUGGCAUUUACUUUUUGAGAUUUUUAUCAAGUCUUGGACAACUACUGUGAAGUGUGCUUUGAUUGCAGUUAUGCAGAUUGAUUAAUAACUUGGUUUUCAAAAUUUAUAUAAAUUCCAAAUUCUGGCCCUAUUCAAUGUUUGCUUGGUUGGUUGUCCCCUUGGUAUCCCAUCUGAUUAUAUCGAUAUUAAUUUUUUUUAUUGACUAAUUGUAUUGCAAAUCCAAAUAGGAGAAACAUUUCCUCAAAUACAACAAAGACUUUAUGCGUUAGGUCUGCAUGCCUACGAUAUUGACUUACUAAGUUAGUGUUGUUUACUAGGCUAUUUAGUUUUCUGAGAUUUUAAUUUUUUGCAUUCACUAUGAUGUUAUUUUUAUGUAUUUCGAUGGAAAUUAUGUUGUACAGAUUAAUUAUUGAUUUUAUAUUAGUUUAUUAUGGUUUCUGUGUUUCUUAACAGGUGCAUGUCGUGUCUGAUAUCUUAAAUAUCAGUGAGAAUUGCACGCCUGGAAUUUUUACACCAUACAUGGAUGGAAUUGUUAGGAUAUUACUUGUUCUUCGGUUAUGCAUCUAACUUCCUAACGGGAUUGUCAUGUAUCUUAGUGCUGAAGAAGUGGUAUUUCUAUGAAUGGAUCUUGUGUUACUUCUCACUCUCCCGUUGCUCCUGUUUCUUUCGUUCUUGAUGUGGAGAGGGUCGGAAGAAAGAGAGGCCGCAAGGUGCAGUAGGGGGACCUUCUUCCAGCGUGUCAACGAGCUCAGGGGAGAUCUUUGGCUGGUCAUCAUCGCUUCUCGUUGUUGUUGCGGCACGUGGUGCAACCAGAACGUCGAUGACAUGCUCAGAUUAAGUAGUCAUUUUGCUCUUUCAUCAAGUGCUUUGACACAACUAUUUUGUCAAUGUUUUUAUGACAUGAUUAUUAGCCGAAUGCAGUCUAAAGUGUUUUCCAUCAAUGUUUGUUGGGAGCCUAGGAUGAUUGUUUAUUAUGAUUCUCUUUCAUCAAGUGUUUUGACAGAACUAUGACAUGAUUAUUAGCCGAAUGCAGUCUAAAGUGUUGUCCACCAAUGUUUGUUGGGAGCCUAGGAUGAUUGUUUAUUAUGGUUCGUAUAAUUUCUUUGAAGCAUAAGAUUUUUCGCAUCUAUCUUAUUUAGUAUCCAUUUGCCUAGAAUUUAUAGGUUAAUGAUCAAGAUCUGCGGACACAACGUUGUGGAGUUUCUGAGAUGAGCUAUAUAUUUUAGCUAAUUAUGUAUGUACUUGUAUUGCAGCUUGCGGAACACCCUCACACCAAUAUCUUUUGGCUGAAGACCUGCUUGCUUUAGCACACAACUUAUAUGAUAAAUUGACCACUGCCUAUGUGAUCAUGUAGAAGGGUGUUUUGGCGAAGUGGCGGAAGUGCUAUUUUGUAAUGUAUGCUUGACUCUCGGCUUGCACCUAAAUAUGUAGAUGAAAUUUCCAAAUUAAAUGUUUGAUUGGUUUACUUGUCUUCAGUUUAGAAUUCAGUCAAAUCACAAUUUUGUCGGCUUACAUUUGGUAUCUAUCAAAACAGUUCGUUGGCUACAUCAUCUUAUUGCAGAAUUACGUUAGAAAAAACUUCGUGUCAUGAGCAUUUAUUUUCUUCAAGACCUUCCUGCUCAGCGGCCGCAACGAGUGUAAUGAGGGUUUCACAGCGGAAAAUAAAAAAAAAGGUCCAGUGCCAUCUCUAAUUUCUUUCACACAGCUUGGUGGGGAAAUUCGGGCAGUGGAGAUUAUUAUCUUCAUAACCUGACUAAGUCCAUGACCAUUAGUAGGAAAACUAGAGUUUUGCCCUUCAAUUAUUCAGACUUUGACAUUUCGUGGACAUGUAAUUCGCUAUAACAAUAGAUGACUUUUUGUACCCGCGAUUUAGGCAUGGUCAAUCCGUGCACUAAAUCAUUGUGUUGGUGUGUGUUCCUAUCUGCCAACCUCUUACCUCUGUUUUUGCUGCAUAAAGAACCAAAUUAAAUUAGUGCUAGGACUUUCAAUCUUGAUCUGACUGUAGGCCAAAGUACAGUUUUGCAGGUGCAACAACACUCAGGCAUGGUCCAGUUUGAUCCAGUGCAGAUGACAUAUACAUGCAGGUUGCAAGCAGUGACUGUGUAGUCUGUUCUGAAGGGGAAAGAUUUUGUUAGGCCAAAUAGAAAUAUAUCUGAUUCUUGGAAUUUAAAUACUGUUGGUCUGAGCUAGACAAAAUAAUUGAGGUACAUCACUAGAGAUCGAUAUCAGGGAAAAAUCCCUUUUAUAAAAAGAAUACUUUAGCAAUGGGACUAGAUAAAAUGGGAAGGGACUAAUGAUUUGCAUAUAGCAGAACAUUAUUUGGCAUAAUGAACACAUCAUGGUUUAUAAACUAUUAUGAUAAAAGAAAUUAUAUUACUUUAAGGUAGUGGGUUUAUGGCAAUUAUGACGGCACAAUUGAUCCUACCUUCACGGAUGCUGAACAUGCUAUAGUUACAAAAUUAGAGAGUAACUUUGUCUUUUGAUCAACGGUUGAUAUAAUACGGUUAUGUGAUAAAUGUUCUGGUAGUGUAAACUGUACAUAACAGAGUUCCUGACAUAAAUCAUGACACAAGACUUACGUGCAUUCUUGUUAUUCUGUUAAUUGGAACUAACUAUGAUGUGUAUGAAGGAGCUCUGCCGCCACCUCUUCUUGGCAUCCAAGGAGUUCUGCCGCCACCUGUUCUCAGCUUCCAAGGAUCCCUGCCGCGGCCCAAGCUCCUAUGGCACCCAGCCGGCUGCCACGCUCGUGAUGAGGUCUGCCAGUAAGUUUGCUAUCCUCUGAAUCGAGCUGCCAAACAACUUCUUCUGCUGGGCCUCCGCAAUCCCGUGCGACUAGCACAAGCUUCGUCCAUCGCGCUCGCUGUAGGUCUCUGCUCUGCCUGUCCCCCUGCUCAUCAAUGGAUGUUUUUAUUCAUAUAAAGUUUGGCUGCCCGUUUCCAGAUCAAGUUUCUCUGCUCUGUCGUUCCUUUUUCCCACGUGAUUAGUGUCUAAGGUUAGGUCUGCAUUUACCUCACGAGCUACAAAAUGCCACUGGUUCCUCUUUCUCAUUUAUGAACAAAGUUUAACUGCAGCCGAACAAGUCCAAAGCUCGUGAUUUUCAGGACUACAUUUGGUGAGCAGUUCUGAACACAAUGCGUCGAGUAUGUCGCAAAUUCAGGAAUAAAAAAUAAAAAUUCAGGUAUUGAUGCUCUAGAUCUAUGAUAAAUUUUUAUGUGAUGUUGGUACUUGGUAGUACAUAAACUUCAUAUUUUUAGGAAUUUCCAUAAUAUUUUCAUUUGUGUAUGCAAAAUGAUACGUAGUCAUUCAAAUUUAUGCACGAUGUAUUUUCAUGUUUUCAUACAUGUACACAAUUCUAUAAUGUUUGUACAUUCAAACAUGAUUUUUAAUUUGUUGCUACCCAUUGAUUUCGAUUGCCAAUUACAUACAUGAAAUAUUAAAAAAACAAUUACAUAAACAUCCAAACAUGAUGCUUGUCAUUGGAGGCCAUUUUCAGUUCACCUCAGUUUUGUUAUUCACACCCCAAUUCAAUACCAACCCUUGAAUACCAACAUCCUAGCUGAGUCUUCAUCUUCUCAAUGAAAUGUGUGAGACGGGACCGUCCAUAGCCCUCGCCGGAUUCCACCACUCUUUCACAUGUCUCACCAUGCCGUCACCUUACCCCGCAUCUUGAAGCAAUGUUGUCUACAAGAGUGAUGUGUAUAUACUUUUUCUGGAAUACAAUGGUGUGCAUAUAUAUAAGCUUUAUUGUUGUGCUCUGAAUCUUGAUUCAAAUUGUGCUAAAUAGAGACUACAACCUGAUACUAAUUUUCAUGACUCUGAUAUUUUCUACGUGUGGCUUCAAAUCUGUCAAUUAAUUUCACAUGUUAAGAUACACUCCAGGUCAAUAUGUGAGAUAUGGGUUGCCUUGUCUUGGAUUGUUGAUGGUUUCCACAGUGUUUCUUAUGUGAGGGACACUCCCAUACAUGUACUAAAUUAUUGGCAUAUAGAAUUCCUGGUAAGUAGUUUUGCAAUAUGCACUAAUACUCAGAAAAUGAAAUGCAUGCUUCCUUUACUUAGAAUUAGAUGAAUCAAUUGUAACCAAAUAGGGUUGUUUGAUGCUCAAAGCCUGAUUAUUUUUUCUCUACAUAUAGUACUAUUUAGCAAGCAACAUUACUCAGUUAUAUAUAUCUGACAUUACUUCAGAUUCUCUUAUUGCAUCAGGUAUGGAGGUUAAAAGUACAUAUUCUUAUCUAUGUAAAUAAUCAUGUUCAGUAUGUUAUCGUUAUUAGGUUGUUUGACCUUUCAGAAUCCAAUAGUCAUGUUUUUUGAGGUAGACUGGCGUUUUUAUCAUUAGUAAUGUCUGGACCCUCACAUGAAUUUCAUACUAUUUUUAUGUGCUACUGAAACUAUUAGUGUAGUCUUUUGUUUAAAAUAGUCUGCUAAUGUAAUGCAUACUGAAGAACAGUAUUUUGCUACAAGUCUUCAUGCUAUUUUCACGGGUUCUGAAUUGCUUGCCAAGUAAACGUGGUUUCAGAGUUUACUUUGGUACCUUCUUAUAUGCUUCGUUUCAGUCUUCCUAUUUGAACAUCUAUUUUAACUACUUGAGGCCUAGGUCAUCCAAUCUUUUUGUUGCAGAUGUGCUUGGAGAAUUAGAUUUGCAACAUUGUCAUACUGUACAUGGGUUGUUUUCUCUCUAAACUAUCGGUUGAUCAAAUUACAUGGUCACUUGGUGUUGUCUCGGAUCAGGUAUGGUGUUAAAAAUAUUUUGUACUUACAUAGGCCUUGCAUUUCUCAUAGGUAGAAAGAAAAAAGUUGUUCGAGUUGUUCAUAUGUAUGCCAUCAACUUGCUGUCCAUGGUGUAUCAAUCAUUUUUACAACAAGGGAUGUCAAAAUAUAGGAAAACAUACGAGGUUCACUCCAUCCAUCAAGAAUACAACUUUAGCAUAUCUAUGUGCCUUUUUGCCGGCUAAAUGUUUCUACAUGUUAGAGAACCAAUAAUUUUGGUUUGUUCAUUCACUGGUUUUCCUUGCUGGAAUUUACUAGCUAGAUAGGCACCAUGGUCGAUAAACUGAAAGUAUGUAUGUUUCUUUCUAUAUAAGGAGUGUAUGCUUCAUCUUUCAUGACCCUUACACCCUGAGGUAUGAGUUGUCGAUUAGGCUGCGACAAAUCUACAUAGAGUUACAAUCUGGUGAUAGCUGAUCCCGUACAUGAUGUUGUUUGGUACAAAAGACUAUUUGAAUCUAGCAAUGGCUGAUUCAGUACAUCCCCGAGGAACCGCUUGAUUGUUUGUGUCCAGCUGUCAUCGACCUGCUUGGUUGUGGCCGCCUUCGGUGCUCUGCUUGCUGGGGCACCGCGUCUGCUGGUUGUUCUAUUAUGGGCUGAUCCACUCAGUAUGUUCUUUCCUGAUUUCAGCGUCAAUUGAUGGAUGAUGUUUCCUAAUAUUUGCAACUGAUGUGGCAUUCAGAUAGAUGGAUUAUGCACUACAGAGGCCUGAUGGUAAUCGAUUACUUCCGUUCACGGAUGGAUACCAUGCGAUGAGCUCUGUUGCAUCAUUUGUUUAUAAGUAUUUUUGUGUUGGAGAAUUUCUCUAUUGCGCAAGGGAAACUCAACUCUUUGAUUACAUGUAAGAUACAACAUGGUUCAACCCACCGGAGUGAUAACCUUUUUC